GACGAACGCUGGCGGCGUGCUUAACACAUGCAAGUCGAACGGAAAGGCCCUGCUUUUGUGGGGUGCUCGAGUGGCGAACGGGUGAGUAACACGUGAGUAACCUGCCCUUGACUUUGGGAUAACUUCAGGAAACUGGGGCUAAUACCGGAUAGGAGCUCCUGCUGCAUGGUGGGGGUUGGAAAGUUUCGGCGGUUGGGGAUGGACUCGCGGCUUAUCAGCUUGUUGGUGGGGUAGUGGCUUACCAAGGCUUUGACGGGUAGCCGGCCUGAGAGGGUGACCGGCCACAUUGGGACUGAGAUACGGCCGAGACGCCUACGGGAGGCAGCAGUGGAGAAUAUUGCACAAUGGGCGGAAGCCUGAUGCAGCAACGCCGCGUGCGGAAUGACGGCCUUCGGGUUGUAAACCGCUUGCGCCUGUGACGAAGCGUGAGUGACGGUAAUAGGUAAAGAAGCACCGGCUAACUACG
rnacentral:rRNA from 1 species